AGAGUUUGAUCAUGGCUCAGGACGAACGCUGGCGGCGCGCCUAACACAUGCAAGUCGAACGAGAGAGAGGGAGCUUGCUUCCUUGAUCGAGUGGCGAACGGGUGAGUAACGCGUGAGGAACCUGCCUCAAAGAGGGGGACAACAGUUGGAAACGACUGCUAAUACCGCAUAAGCCCACGACCCGGCAUCGGGAAGAGGGAAAAGGAGCAAUCCGCUUUGAGAUGGCCUCGCGUCCGAUUAGCUAGUUGGUGAGGUAACGGCCACCAAGGCGACGAUCGGUAGCCGGACUGAGAGGUUGAACGGCCACGAUUGGGACUGAGACACGGCCCAGACUCCUACGGGAGCA
rnacentral:rRNA from 1 species